ACAAGGAAGUCCUCGUCUCGUCUAGCUGUGGGAUUUACCGCGAAGUUUAAUACCAAACCACACAUGGCGGACAAAUACCCUAAAUCUAAGCUGAAGAGAAAGAAAUCCGCUGUGAUCGAGCCUCAAGGGGACAGAUACAAAAAAGAUUCUUUGAAGUUUAGUAUACCGUUCAAUUCCCCUGAUCUUACCAAAGAAGUAAAGACUGACAGUAGCAAAGGAAAUAGGGGAACAGUGUCUCCAACCCUACCAUGGUGGACUCGAAACGAUCUGAAUUCGUCAGAAAAGCUAUGGGCCAGCGCAAUAGAGACAGUUCUCCCUUUCCUGGGUUCUGAGCACUGGGACCCCCUCCCAGAACCCUCCGCAGCGACUUCCAGGCAGAGCGAACGCCAGCCACCCACUCCAGCCAAUGAAGUCCCCCCUUUCCCUGAACCCUCCAGACCCCCAGGAUCCCCUCUCCGAAGUCCCCCCCGACCCCUCGAUACCCACUCCCCAGCGCAACCCGUCGAACCCUCACCCCCCGCUAGUCCUCCGGUGACCCCUCCUCAGGGCGGAGGAGGAGGUGGGCUCCAGGUCCCAGAGACCACAGCGGCCAGUCCCUCCUCCCUGGUGGUCUAUUCACCACCAGGGAGGAGGGAGGACUCGAGACCAGCCCCGACCCAGAAGGAGGUCCCGGCAGGCAGAGAGUCGGUCCCUGAGAAGACGCGGCGAACGGGGGAUCUCGCUGGCAGGCCGGUACGGCCGUUCCCGCUUUGGAGCGGGUCCACCGCCAGAGCUUGUGAGCCCCCCCCGGUGGUGCCCCCCUUUUCAGGGGAGCACCUGGCAGAGAGGGGGGAGACGAUGAGGGGGGUGCAGGAGGCCAUGUUGGAUGAGAGGGUGGAGGAGGCGGGACCAUCUGGGGCUCAGCGACAGGGUGGCGGCAAGGGGGAUGGACCGAAGGAGGCGGAGCUAGGAGAAGGAGGGCGAGAACGAACCCAGUGUUGCCCCAUGUGUACGCUGGUGUUCCCAAGCAGGUUCAGCCAGAUGGACUGUGACAGCCACCUGGCCCAGUGUCUGUCCGAGAUGAACGUCGACAUGGCCUGGUGAGAGUGGCUAUUGGAUGGGGUGGGGGGUUGGCCCUGGCCCUCCCCCAACCUAUAGGGUUGGCCCUGGAACGCUCCAAACCAAUCAGCCGUCAGGAACAUGAGACGGGAGAUAAACAGCGUGUCAGGUGUGCGGGCCCCCGGGAGCCCCUCGGAGAGAGACGCAGCCGGCUUGAAGGGCAGAGCGAGCAACGGGGCCGACGCUGUCAUUGACGUCGGCCCCCCCCCCCCUAACAACUCUCUACACUCUCUACUGCACCCCUUUCAGGCUGUGGGGGUCUCACCUGCUCCCAGUCGAUGGUGCGGAAGAAGGUGUGAGACUUGAUGUCCGUGAAGCCCGUCUCCACCUGGCACCCCAGCCGCUCCUUGGGGUCCUGGGGAGGAGACGCAGGUCAUGUGACCACCCUGGUUCCAUUGUCUGUGUGAUCUUCAAACCUUUGGCUGGAUUCACACGUGUGGUUUUCUGUCUGGAUCUAAUGUUCGCUGUAUGCCACUUGGGAUAAAACCGUCUGCUAAAGGGAAUGUUGAAUAGUAGAUUGUCUUUAUUAGCAUUGUGCGAGCCAAUAGUGUAGUGCUAGACACACUGUGUUUUUCAUCGUCUUUCAAGCACAACAUGAAUCUCUUGUGUUGGUUUGUAUUCAUGGUUCACACCCUCAUGUGGGAAAUCAGUCAGUAUGGGAAAUAUAUACAUGAAGAGAACAUGCUUAUUAAUUGUAUAAAUGAUUAAAGCCUGGAUUUAAUCAUUUAAAAAAACUUGUAAAAAGAAAACUUGUAAUAGCACAAAGUUUAAUUAUUAUUUUGUUUUAAUCAGCUGGAAGAUAAAGGAAAUCUGCUAUUUUAGUUUUUUUUUAUAAUGAUGUGAAUUAUUUAAUUCAUAUAUAUUUUUUCUAUAUCACAUCGAGUUUUUGAAUGAACAAUAAUUGGCAAUAAGGGUGAGGUACAGCCUUACUAAAACAAUAUCACAAAUACACAAAAUGCUACUAAAGUCAUUAAAUAAUCAUAAUAAGCACUGCAUGAAAUAAUGAA